rnacentral:rRNA from 1 species
UGGGGAAUUUUGGACAAUGGGGGAAACCCUGAUCCAGCCAUCCCGCGUGUGCGAUGAAGGCCUUCGGGUUGUAAAGCACUUUUGGCAGGAAAGAAACGUCGCGGGUUAAUACCCCGCGAAACUGACGGUACCUGCAGAAUAAGCACCGGCUAACUACGUGCCAGCAGCCGCGGUAAUACGUAGGGUGCAAGCGUUAAUCGGAAUUACUGGGCGUAAAGCGUGCGCAGGCGGUUCGGAAAGAAAGAUGUGAAAUCCCAGAGCUUAACUUUGGAACUGCAUUUUUAACUACCGGGCUAGAGUGUGUCAGAGGGAGGUGGAAUUCCGCGUGUAGCAGUGAAAUGCGUAGAUAUGCGGAGGAACACCGAUGGCGAAGGCAGCCUCCUGGGAUAACACUGACGCUCAUGCACGAAAGCGUGGGGAGCAAACAGGAUUAGAUACCCUGGUAGUCCACGCCCUAAACGAUGUCAACUAGUUGUUGGGGGCCUUUCGGGCCUUGGUAGCGCAGCUAACGCGUGAAGUUGACCGCCUGGGGAGUACGGUCGCAAGAUUAAAACUCAAAGGAAUUGACGGGGGUCGA